rnacentral:rRNA from 1 species
UACGUAGGGUGCGAGCGUUAAUCGGAAUACUGGGCGUAAAGCGUGCGCAGGCGGUUCGUGAUGUCUGAUGUGAAAGCCCCGGGCUCAACCCUGGGAAUGGCAUUGGAAACUAGCGGGCUGGAGUGUGGCAGAGGGGGGUGGAAUUCCACGUGUAGCAGUGAAAUGCGUAGAGAUGUGGAGGAACACCGAUGGCGAAGGCAGCCCCCCUGGGCUAACACGUGACGCUCAUGCACGAAAGCGUGGGGAGCAAACAGG